AUUCCGGUUGAUCCUGCCGGAGGCCAUUGCUAUCGGAGUCCGAUUUAGCCAUGCUAGUCGCACGAAUUCAGAUUCGUGGCAUAUAGCUCAGUAACACGUGGCCAAACUACCCUACAGACCACAAUAACCUCGGGAAACUGAGGCCAAUGGUGGAUACCGCUCUCAUGCUGGAGUGCCGAGAGUGGGAAACGUUCCGGCGCUAAUCAGACUACGUCUGAUUGCGCAACGGGACGCUCUGCGUCUCGUCCGCGCUGUAGGAUGUGGCUGCGGCCGAUUAGGUAGACGGUGGGGGAACGGCCCACCGUGCCCGUAAUCGGUACAGGUUGUGACAGCAAGAGCCUGGAGACGGUAUCUGAGACAAGAUACCGGGCCCUACGGGGCGCAGCAGGCGCGAAACCUUUACACUGCACGACAGUGCGAUAAGGGGACUCCGAGUGCGAGGGCAUAUAGUCCUCGCUUUUCUGUACCGUAGGGAGGUACAGGAACAAGUGCUGGGCAAGACCGGUGCCAGCCGCCGCGGUAAUACCGGCAGCACGAGUGAUGGCCGAUAUUAUUGGGCCUAAAGCGUCCGUAGCUUGCUGUGUUAGUCCAUCGGGAAAUCCACGCGCUCAACGCGUGGGCGUCCGGUGGAAACUGCACAGCUUGGGGCCGAGAGACUCGACGGGUACGUCCGGGGUAGGAGUGAAAUCCCGUAAUCCUGGACGGACCACCAAUGGGGAAACCACGUCGAGAGACCGGACCCGACAGUGAGGGACGAAAGCCAGGGUCUCGAACCGGAUUAGAUACCCGGGUAGUCCUGGC
rnacentral:rRNA from 1 species